rnacentral:misc_RNA from 1 species
GGGUUGCAUGCGAGAGAGAGGAGAGAGGUAAGGCUGAAUGAAUGUGCGUGUCACAACAAAGAAGGAACGAGUCUCGUCUUUUCAUCCGCGGAACCGUAUCAACGCCACUGUCGACACGAUGCCCAAUAUACAACGCGGAACCCUGUGCGACGAGCAGCGACGAGGACCCGGUGACAUGAACCGAGCAAACUGACAUGGCGAGGACUGAGGACUGAUGAGAGGAGCGAGACCGGCUGCACUCUGCGUG